rnacentral:rRNA from 1 species
AGCGGCGAACGGGUGAGUAACGCGUACACGACCUACCUUUGACUGGGGGAUAGCCCUGGGAAACUGGGAUUAAUACCGCAUAUAAUUUCGAAUAGUAAAGGAUUUGGAAUGAAAGUUCAGGCGGUCAGAGAUGGGUGUGCGUCUGAUUAGCUAGUUGGUAAGGUAACGGCUUACAAGGCGAUGAUCAGUAGGGGGCGUGAGAGCGUGGACCCCCACACGGGUACUGAGACACGGACCCG